UCGGUCUCAAAAAUAAAAUAAAAUAAAAUUGGAAUGAUACAGAGAAGAUUAGCAUGGCUCCUUUAAAGUAAAGACAUGGUCCCUGUCCUC
rnacentral:snRNA from 1 species